UAGUACUGCAGAGCUUUCAGAACUCAGUGAUAUCCUUAAUUUGGAAUUUCCUUAUUUGUUGGUGUCAGUCCAUAAGCUUUAUUUGAAUGUUGUUGUCCAUACAACCUCCUUUUACUGAAACAAACUAAAAGGUUGAGUUAGAGGCAGAAUACUGCAGUACUGGCAGAGUAUUUGUUCCUGGUGCAAUAUUCACCCUAUCUCAGGGCUGGCCCUUUAAGCGGAGUCAGAUUCCCCAGCCUACCAGUGAUAGGCUCUGCGAAGGAAGCAAGCCAACCCAGCUCUACCUGAAGAUAGUUAACUGCCUACACAGCUGAAAGAGACAAGGAGUUCCAUCCCUGUUUUUUCAUUAGUUGACCCACAAUAUUACUUGGGAUCUGGAGCUAGUAGCUCCUUUCCUUAGACUGGGGGAGGAGUCUUUAGUUGUGGGCAGGCUUGUGUCCACCUUUCCCCAGAUUCCCAAUAACUGGAAGAGACAAGGUGGGUGAUGCUGUUUAUCUGCUGUUGAUGAGAGAGACAAGCUUUGGAGGUCUUCUUCAGAUAUCUAGAAGGCAGUUAAGUAAGGAACACCUGGGCCUAAUAAAAGCUUAGUAGAGCUCAGCUGGGGAGAGCCCCUGAGGAGAAAGGAAGUUCUGGAGGGAAGGAGUGCCUGGGGAGCCUGAACUAGCCAAAAGCUGUACUCCUAAGGGAGGGAGGCCUGCGAAGGACCCUGAGCAAGCAGGGGAAAGACUGCAGAACUUUCCAGGUAGUGGAGAAGCCUGAGGCCUUACCAGAGAACAAGUUGCUGCUGGGAUCCGGAUACGUUUGUUUCUUGGACUUUUAAGUUUGGUCUGGGCUCUGAGUGCUCAAUAUCUGCGUUGAGAAAGUAGUAUCAUCAAAGGGGUUGCGAAUCCAGUCAUUAUCGCCUGACAUAGCCAGAAAGUAUUGCCUGAACGUUGUGCAAAGUCCUUUUAGGAGAAGCGGGAUGAAGCUCCAGCUGUGAUGGAUCCAUUGUAUUACUCAGAUAAGCAGGAUCAACCAGCUCUUAAGAAUCCUUCUGCAGCUUUGAAAUGCAAAGGUCCGUUUCUACUGGCACUG